ACACUACUAGUACACAGUUACAGUUCACAUAUUCCGUCUUUUCGUUAUACGGGGAACAAUUUGACAAACAUGGGUGAACAGCUGACAGAAGAACAAAUUAAAGACUUUGAAGAGAGAUUCAGUUUAUAUGACAAAGAUGGCGACGGAACAAUUCCAACAAAAGAUCUGGGAAAAGUUAUGAGAUCUCUUGGAUACAAUCCUACAGAAGUAGAACUCCAAAAUAAUAUGAUAAAUGUAGAAGACGCAGGUGGUUUGGUUUAUGAAGUCCAAGCAGAACAUUGCUACAAGAAUCAUUACCUUCUUCCUUAAAAUGUUUCAUCAUAUAUACACGUCACCAAAGGCUAUUAUUGAAAUGUUACCAUAUUUGAAAAAAAAUGAAUUGUAAUAUAUUGUAAUUAAUUAGGAACUACAGAACCAUAUGUAAUACUGUCGUUUCAAAUUUACUUCAAGUUCGAUAUGACAAAAUGUUCAUGAGAAUAAUUCAUAUUCUUUAAAUAUGAUUGACAUUGGAAUCUAGUCAUUGGGUUAAAUAAGUCCAAUUCUUUCGAUAUAGAAUUGAAUAAUAUUCAUUUCUAAUUUAACAUAAAUGAAAGCAAGAAGUGGAAACAUUUUGCAUGAAGCGUGAACGCGCUUCUUGCUAGAUAUGAGUUUAAGUGGCCUAUCGGUUCAUAACGAUAUAUGUCAUAUAUUGGUUUUGUUGUGUUGAGGUUCGUGUUGCUCAGUACUUUGUUUUCUGUGUUGUAUUUUGUAUGCUGUUGUUUGUCUCUUGGCACUGGCGUUAUCAAUAUCAAAAAAUCAGGAGAUGUAAUAUGAUUGCCAAUGAGACAACUAUCCACCAGAGUUCAAAUAAAGUGGAUAUAAGCAAUAUAGGUAACCGUGUAGUCUUAAACAAUGAGAACAACCCAUACGGUAUAGUCGGCUAUAAAAGGCACCGACAUGAAACAUAUGAAACAAUUAAAAUGAGAAAACUAAUGGCAUCGGUUUGUUUACGACUAAUGAGUUUGAAUGUCCCUUUCGUAUCUUUAGCCUCUCUUUUAUUGACUCGUCUGCUGCCCGCCCAUAACUUCCCCUCAUUUUCAAAAAGUAUUUAUAAAACGUUAUAAAGUGAAAAUAAACUCAUCAUAGAUACCAGGAUUGAAAUUUUGUAUUUGCGCCAGACGCGCGUUUCGUCUACAAAAGACUCAUCAGUGACGCUCGAACCGACCUUGUCCACAAUAAUCCUUAAAGUGUUUAUCUGUAAAAGAGAACAUGAUUGGUGUUACUAAAAAACUAUAGCUUUUAAGGAACACAUAAGUAAAUUGAAAAAAAUCUUUAAAAAAGCGUUUUAGGAAGAGAUACAUAUGUAUUCCUCUUUUCUUGUUUCAUGGAACACACAAUCGUAAUCCAGCCUUAUCAUAUCUGUGACUACAGAUGAAAAGUAUGAAGAAAUCAUUGUAGUCAUUUGAGGCAAUGUUUUAGUCAUAGAUGGGAGUAGUAAGCUUGGUAUCCCACGCAGACUGCUUGGUCUAUUUCUAUGCCAGUUAAAUAUGUUAUUAAAGACGGUUUACCGAUGCAGUACACCUAUAUAUGCUUGGCUGAUUAUAGUUCAUUAUCCAGUAGGGCAAAUGAAGUCAUCAGUGAAAAACAAAUUAUAUUCAAUUACAUAAAGGGGUGAUACCUAGUUGGUUAAUAGGGUAAGAAUUUGCCUCAAUUCUUGCAUCAUCCAUCAUGUAAUAUUCUUAAACGAGACCAUUUAAAUGUUUAACGAGUAAAAAUAUCUUAUACAAUGAUCAAGUCAUGUAUAAUUAAAGUCAAGCGUAAAUAAAUAUGAAGUAAACAAGUAAUUCAAAAAUGUAAUAAGGAAAUAAUGAAUAUACAAUGCAUAUACAUUGUAGGAACAUGUAGAAUUCAUUAAUUUUAAACAUGUACGAUCUGUAAAGAAACAGGAAGGAAAUCUGGGCUCCCCGAGUCUUUUUCCUGUUUUAUAGCGAGUACAAUGUACUAGUUGUAUAGGUUUUAUCCUGAGUACAGGAUAAAUAUAAACAAAUAAAUGAAUUCUCUAUUGACAAAGGCAUUAGAUAGGCUAUAGCAACAAAACCGGUUUAACAAUAUGACAAUGAAAGAUAUAUUUAUUAUACAAUUAUUAAACUAAUAUAUCUGAAUGUGAAGAUGAAAGAGUUUGCAAGAUGCUAAUUAAUUGUUCUUAUUUUAAGAUGACCUUGGAUAAGUUCUGCUUCAUAUAUGUAUGAGUACACCAAUUAAACACCAAGCUGAUCAUUGCGCAAUCAGUAUACUCUACAAUGUCUGAAUAAUAUAUUGACAAUGCCUAUUUCGCUGCUUUUAAUAUUGGAAUCACUGUAGAUUUUUUUCGAGAUAAUAAACUGAUAUCUUGAAUCGGAUAAAACAGAAAUUCAGUUUUUUAGUGAUAGUAUAUUUUCAUCGUUUGACAAACAUACAUGUAACAUCAUUCAAAUAUUUUCAGAUGAAAGUAUCAAUUAGAUAUGGGUAUUGUUUUCACACUGAGUUUUCUCAUUCAAGUUUUCUUGUAAUGAUAAAUUGAAUACAAAACCAAACUUUAAAGUAGUUCAUCCAUCUAAUAAGACUGUAUUUGUACACGGGCUUUCAUUCAACAUAAUUCAUUGAACAUAAUGAAAGCUGACAGGUAUACAUUUCUAGAUCAUUUGCUUGGCCUAGAGUUAGUUUAGAACGCUAUAUUUUACACAAAUGGACAACUUUCUAUAGUUUACUACACAUAGUUUUAUAUACACGUAUAAAUGAAAAAGGCGUGUCCUGUUUUAUUUUCCUUUAUAAGUCUUAAAUAUAUAAAACAUGAUAAAUGUAGUGUAUAUGUAUAUGUGUGUGUUUAGAAUGUCAUCGUUUUGAGCGUAGAAGAAAUAAAAGUUACUUACCAUUAUUUUUGAUACUCUAGGACUUCUCAAUAAAACUGAUAUUUGACCUGAAAAUGGUGGAGAAAUGUUUAGCUGGGGUAUGUACGGGAAUACUUAAUUUGCCUAAAUCCAUGACAACCGGCAAAGUGAACAGCUAGUAUGUCUGACCAGAAGAUUAUAGAGACUUGUUUAUAACUUCUGCCAAGCGAGACAACUCUGAUACAUCUUCUUAAAAAAAACCCAUCAUAUAUACCAGGAUUAAAUUUAAAGGGCAUACGCACAUGUAGUAUUAAUAAACCAUAUACUAUAUCAGGAGAGUAAUUCCUAAUUUGCAUUUCUUAACUUUAUAUUCCGACACUAAUACUUAUACGAAAAAUAAUAAAAUUUCAUUUCCGAGUCCGAUAACAAUUAUAGUA